rnacentral:rRNA from 1 species
UACGAAGGGGGCUAGCGUUGCUCGGAAUUACUGGGCGUAAAGCGCACGUAGGCGGCUUGUUAAGUCAGGGGUGAAAUCCUGGAGCUCAACUCCAGAACUGCCUUUGAUACUGGCGAGCUUGAGUUCGGGAGAGGUGAGUGGAACUGCGAGUGUAGAGGUGAAAUUCGUAGAUAUUCGCAAGAACACCAGUGGCGAAGGCGGCUGACUGGUCCGGUUCUGACGCUGAGGCGCGAAAGCGUGGGGAGCAAACAGG